GGUUAAGGGAGUAACACCCGAAGCCGUAGCGAAAGCGAGUCUUAAUAGGGCGUAUAGUCGCUGGAAUUAGGCCCGAAACCGUGUGAGCUACCCAUGGGCAGGGUGAAGCGAGUCUAAACACUCGUGGAGGCCCGAACUCACUAACGUUGCAAAGUUAGGAGAUGACCUGUGGGUAGAGGUGAUAUGCCAAUCGAACACGGAGAUAGCUGGUUCUCCCCGAAAUAGCUUUAGGGCUAGCGUCGUGCGUUUAGUACUGGAGGUACAGCACUGAAUGGGCUAAGGGGCUUACAGCUUACUGAACCCAAUCAAACUCGGAAUGCCAGUACUCCAUAGCACGGCAGUCGGACUCCGGGAGAUGAGUUUCGGGGUCGAAAGGGAAACAGCCCAGAUCAUCGGCUAAGGUCCUCAAAUCUAUGCUAAGUGGGAAACGAGGUGAGGUUACUUAAACAACCAGGAGGUUGGCUUAGAAGCAGCCACCCUUUAAAAAGUGCGUAACAGCUUACUGGUCUAGUGACUUUGCGCGGAAAACUUAACGGGGCUAAGCAUAGUACCGAAGCCAUGAGUCUCAACGCAAGUUGGGGCAGUAGGGGAGCGUUCUGUCAGCGGUGAAGGUCGAUCGUAAGGGCGACUGGAGCGGACAGAAGUGAGAAUGCAGGCAUGAGUAGCGAACAAACACGUGAGAACCGUGUUCGCCGUAAAUCUAAGGUUUCCGACGCCAGGUCAUUCCGCGUCGGGUUAGUCGAGUCCUUAGCCGAGGCCGAGAGGCGUAGGUGAUGGAUAUCCGGUCAACAUUCCGGAACCGCUGUAAAGUGCGAUGGGAGGACGCAACGAGAUAGGCCAGCCCAUUAUUGGAUUUGGGUUCGAUCCAUCUAGGCGUUGAGAUUGGCAGGUAAAUCCGCCAGUUGAGCUGAGGUGAGAGCGCGCCGCAAGGCAUAAGUGGUUGAGUCUUGUUGCCAAGAAAAGUCUCUAAGCAUAACUUUAUAGCGCUCGUACCGCAAACCGACACUGGUAGAUGGGUAGAGUAUACCAAGGCGAACGGGAGAACCCUCGUUAAGGAAUUAGGCAACAUGACCCCGUAACUUCGGGAGAAGGGGUACCCUCCUUGGUGUUAAAGCUUCGGAGGGUCGCAGUGAAAUGGCUCUGGUGACUGGUUAACAAAACCACAGGUCUCUGCUAAGCCGUAAGGCGAUGUAUAGGGGCUGACGCGUGCCCAGUGCCGGAAGGUUAAAGGGAGAGGUUAGCGCAAGCGAAGCUUUGAACUGAAGCCCCGGUGAACGGCGGCCGUAACUAUAACGGUCCUAAGGUAGCGAAAUUCCUUGUCGGGUAAGUUCCGACCCGCACGAACCGCGUAACAAUUAGAGCACUGUCUCGACGAGGGACCCGGUGAAAUUGAAAUGGCUGUGAAGAUGCGGCCUACCCGCAGCAGGACAAAAAGACCCCGUGGAGCUUUACUGCAGCUUGGCAUUGUAUUUGGAUAUAAUCUGUGUAGGAUAGGUGGGAGGCUAUGAAGCUGGCGCGUCAGCGUCGGUGGAGCCAACGGUGAAAUACCACCCUGAUUAUGUUUAGAUCCUAACCCCAUUCCGUAAUCCGGAUGGGGGACCGUGCCAGGUGGGCAGUUUGACUGGGGCGGUCGCCUCCCAAAAGGUAACGGAGGCGCCCAAAGGUUCCCUCAGGUGGAAUGGAAACCCACCACAGAGUGUAAAGGCAUAAGGGAGCUUGACUGUAAGGCCAACGCGCCGAACAGAGUCGAAAGACGGGCUUAGUGAUCCCACAGUACCGAGUGGAAGGGCUGUGGCUUACCGGAUAAAAGCUACCCCGGGGAUAACAGGCUGGUGAGAUCCAAGAGUUCACAUCGACGAUCUCGCUCGGCACCUCGAUGUCGGCUCAUCGCAUCCUGGGGCUGGACAAGGUCCCAAGGGUCGGGCUGUUCGCCCGUUAAAGCGGUACGCGAGCUGGGUUCAGACCGUCGUGAGACAGGUCGGUCUCUAUCCGCUGUGGGCGUAAGGGAUUUGAAGGGAGCUGCUCCUAGUACGAGAGGACCGGAGUGGACAGACCUCUAGUGUGCCAGUUGUUCCGCCAGGAGCAUCGCUGGGUAGCCAUGUCUGGCAAAGAUAACCGCUGAAAGCAUCUAAGUGGGAAACUUGCCCUAAGAUUAGAUCCCUG
rnacentral:rRNA from 1 species